UACGUAGGUGGCAAGCGUUGUCCGGAUUCACUGGGUGUAAAGGGUGCGCAGGCGGAUUGGCAAGUCAGAGGUGAAAUCUCACGGCUUAACCGUGAAACUGCCUUUGAUACUGCUAAUCUUGAGUUAGGGAGAGGUUGAUGGAAUUCCUGGUGUAGCGGUGAAAUGCGCAGAUAUCAGGAGGAACACCAGUGGCGAAGGCGGUGCUCUGGGCCGGAACUGACGCUGAGGAGCGAAAGCGUGGGGAGCAAACAGG
rnacentral:rRNA from 1 species